rnacentral:rRNA from 1 species
UACGGAGGGGACUAGCGUUGUUCGGAAUUACUGGGCGUAAAGCGCACGUAGGCGGAUUUGUAAGUCAGGGGGUGAAAUCCCGGGGCUCAACCUCGGAACUGCCUUUGAUACUGCAAAUCUCGAGUCCGGAAGAGGUGAGUGGAAUUCCUAGUGUAGAGGUGAAAUUCGUAGAUAUCAGGAAGAACACCAAUGGCGAAAGCAGCUUUCUGGGACGGUACUGACGCUGAGACGCGAAAGCGUGGGGAGCGAACAGG